rnacentral:rRNA from 1 species
UACGAAGGGUGCGAGCGUUAAUCGGAAUUACUGGGCGUAAAGCGCGCGUAGGUGGUUUUGUAAGCGAAAUGUGAAAUCCCCGGGCUCAACCUGGGAACUGCAUGUCGAACUGCAAGGCUAGAGUAUAGUAGAGGAGUGUGGAAUUUCCUGUGUAGCGGUGAAAUGCGUAGAUAUAGGAAGGAACAUCAGUGGCGAAGGCGGCACUCUGGACUGAUACUGACACUGAGGCGCGAAAGCGUGGGUAGCGAACAGGAUUAGAUACCCUGGUAGUCCACGCCGUAAACGAUGUCUGCUAGCCGUUGGGGCGCUUGACGCUUCAGUGGCGGAGCUAACGCGAUAAGCAGACCGCCUGGGGAGUACGGCCGCAAGGUUA